rnacentral:rRNA from 1 species
UACGAAGGGGGCUAGCGUUGCUCGGAAUCACUGGGCGUAAAGGGCGCGUAGGCGGCUUGAUAAGCGUGCGGUGAAAGCCCGGGGCUCAACCCCGGGUCGGCCGUGCGAACUGUCGAGCUGGAGCACUGUAGAGGCAGGUGGAAUUCCGGGUGUAGCGGUGGAAUGCGUAGAGAUCCGGAAGAACACCGGUGGCGAAGGCGGUCUGCUGGGCAGUAGCUGACACUGAGGCGCGACAGCGUGGGGAGCAAACAGG